GCGGGUGUGGUGAAACGGUAUCACAGCGGUCUCCAAAACCGCUAUUUCGGGUUCAAGUCCUGACACCCGCG
rnacentral:tRNA from 1 species